rnacentral:lncRNA from 1 species
UGCUUGCUAAUCUGCUUGAAUACCAACAAUUCACCAAACUUGAUGGCGUGAUCCAAUGCGAAAUUCCGCCAGCCAUGUCCAAAAGCCAAUGCACCGUUCAUCGAACAUGUUUUUACGCGCCAACGGUAUCCGUAUGAAUCUUGCAGGUAAACGUUCUGAUCAGCCAAGUCUCCUAUUGNAAAUUCCGCCAGCCAUGUCCAAAAGCCAAUGCACCGUUCAUCGAACAUGUUUUUACGCGCCAACGGUAUCCGUAUGAAUCUUGCAGGUAAACGUUCUGAUCAGCCAAGUCUCCUAUUGCUUUUGCGAACAUGGGCGGUACAUACUACAAAAAAACGUUAGAAUAUAAUGAUCGGAAAUAUCAAAUAGAUUAAGUUAGAGAUUCAAAAGUAAUAUGCAGGACUGAUUGAUGCGUAAACUAUGGCUGGAUGAAUUUCCACAGACAUGAAAUAAGAAGAAUGAAUUCAUUUCUUUUAAAAAAUAUACAGAAAGCUAUAAUCCACACCCCUCAACUUGCUUCAUGCAUCCACAUAGGUAGGAUUCAGGUCCAUUACGCUAAUAAUCCCCUCCCCACGCAGUUGCAUAAUUUGCAGCAUGAAGGACUUGAAUCCAUGAUCUGCUGCUCUAAUACCACUUUGUUGUAUUGUUGACGCUAACCAUUAAUUUCAAGAACUCGAAUUGUUAAAAAGGAAACAUCAUAUUCACUUAAAGUAUACAGAUAAAGCGUCCACAAGUUUCGAUUAUGACUCAGCCCUAGCCCGUGGGCUUCGAUUGUGACUCAGCCCAAACCAGCCUCCGCAACAUAGGCAGAAUGCUGGCCCAUUAAGCCAACCUUAUUAGCACCCCCAAACAUGCUACUAAUUCGCAUGAUAGUUCUUGAAAACCUCUUUAAUUGUGCAUGUGUUAAGAAUAUUUCAAAAAAUCCAAAAAAUAUUAGUUUUUAAACACUAAACCAAGAACAGGACAUUCCUAUAAUGUUAGGUGAAAUGCAGCAGCUAAAGAGAGUAAUUUUAUCGUACCUACGCGGGCUCCGCUGGCAAACCAAAAAAAGAAAGUUCCACGUAAGAAAAUAGAAACCAUUUUUUACAUUGGAGGUAAUCUCACCAUUCAGAGCCAUGCAGAUAAAACUGACAAAAUCUACAAGUACAGCUCCCAACUACACGCAACCCAACAAAAAAUUUAUAGUUAUUAUUCUACUCUGACGCGCAUGCAUCUCAAACUACAGUGUAUUUACAACUACAUCAUCUACAAACACAGGCAUAGGUUCUUAAAAUUGAGCUAGUAAAAGAGCAAGUAAAGGGG